AUGGGGAGGUCGCCGUGCUGCGAGAAGGCGCACACCAACAAGGGCGCGUGGACCAAGGAGGAGGACCAGCGCCUGAUCGGCUACAUCAAGGCGCACGGCGAGGGCUGCUGGCGCUCGCUGCCCAAGGCCGCGGGCCUGCUGCGCUGCGGCAAGAGCUGCCGCCUCCGCUGGAUGAACUACCUCCGCCCCGACCUCAAGCGCGGCAACUUCACCGACGACGACGACGAGCUCAUCAUCAAGCUCCACGCCCUCCUCGGCAACAAGUGGUCGUUGAUAGCGGGGCAGCUGCCGGGCCGGACGGACAACGAGAUCAAGAACUACUGGAACACGCACAUCAAGCGCAAGCUCCUCAACCGCGGCAUGGACCCGCACACGCACCGCCCCAUCAGCGCCGCCAGCGGGCUCACCGCGUCCACCACCGCCCCCGUCUUCCCUUCCUCCCCGGCGCCGGCGUCCAGGCUCGCCAGCGCGCCUUUCGCCUUCCAGAGCAGCACCGUGAGCUUCGCGAGGCCGUCCCCGUCGGACGACGGGCACAGCAGCAGCGGCGGAAGCAGCGACGCGCCGCGGUGCCCCGACCUGAACCUCGACCUGGACCUCGACCUGUCGAUGAGCCUGCCGAGCUCGCCGCCCAAGACCGCGCCGCCCGCCAAGUCCACGCCCACGUCGCACCAGCAGCAGGGCAUCUGCCUGUGCUACCACCUCGGCGUCCGCGACGGGGAGGCAUGCACCUGCAAGACGGCGUCGCCGGCGGGCCCGCGCGUGUUCCGGUUUCUCCGGCCCCUGGAGGAGGGUCAAUACAUAUAG
rnacentral:rRNA from 1 species